GUUUAAACAAACGUUAGCCAAAUUUGUACUAUUAUCAUUAUUCAUUUUUGAGAAUAGUAUAGAAAUAGCUCUAAUUCUGCCAUCGUCUGAACUCUGGAUAGUCCAUUGCAAAAUACGUUUCCUUGACAAAUGGAGAAAUUUACGAAAAAUGUUAACGAAGGGUCAUUAGGCAAACAUUUGAGGCGUGGGCUCUGGACGGGAAACUAAAGUUUAAUUUGGAAUGGUCUAAUUUGCACUAAGUGAAUGAAAUUAUUUAAAAUUGUUAUACCUGUCACGUUUUAGGGGGAGUUUACUAUUUUUAGACUUUUGUAAUUUUGUACUAUUUUGUAUUUUAAACUUAAGCCCCGUUUACACUACGCUUAAUUUUUGGUACCGUACCACUUUUUUGUUUCUUGGACUACCUAAAUAGGUAGUCCAAAGCCCCGUUUACACUACGCUCAAUUUUUGGUACGGCACGGAUAAAAUUGGUACCCGCACCACUUUUUUGGUUCUUGGACUACCUAUUUAGGUAGUCCAAGAACCAAAAAGUGG